GACGAACGCUGGCGGCGUGCUUAACACAUGCAAGUCGAACGGACGAGUGAGAUAAGUUUACUUAACUCGCAAGUUAGUGGCGGACGGGUGAGUAACACGUGGAUAAUCUACCUGCAACACCGGGAUAACGCUGUGAAAACGGUGCUAAUACCGGAUACGUUCCCUUGUGCGCAUGUAUGAGGGAAGAAAGCUCAGGCGGUUGCAGAUGAGUCCGCGGCUGAUUAGCUAGUUGGUGAGGUAAAGGCUCACCAAGGCGAUGAUCAGUAGCCGGCCUGAGAGGGUGAACGGCCACACUGGGACUGAGACACGGCCCAGACUCCUACGGGAGGCAGCAGUGGGGAAUCUUCCGCAAUGGGCGCAAGCCUGACGGAGCAACGCCGCGUGGGUGAAGAAGGCCUUCGGGUUGUAAAGCCUGUCUUAUGGAAGAAGUCAGUGACGGUACCAUAGGAGGAAGCCACGGCUAACUACGUGCCAGCAGCCGCGGUAAAUAGUACUA
rnacentral:rRNA from 1 species